GGAGAGGUCGCGUAGUGGCCGAGCGCGCGUGUCUGGAGAACACGUGUACCGAAAGGUACCGAGAGUUCGAAUCUCUCCCUCUCCGCCA
rnacentral:tRNA from 1 species